rnacentral:rRNA from 1 species
AUGUUGAUAAGGAAUUCCUGGUGGGGGAGCAAAGAGGGAAAACACAAACCUCAUUGGUUCUCAUGGCAAACUAUGACUCAACCAAAAGGUAUGGGGGGCUUAGGGUUCAAAGAUUUCGAGUUGUUCAAUCUUUCUAUGCUUGCUAGGCAGGCUUGGAGGUUACUUCAGAACCCGGAUACUUUGAGUGCACGACUGUUGAAAAGCAUAUACUUUCCAAAUUCCGAUAUUUUGCAAGCUAGUCUCGGCGACCACCCUAGCCAGGUAUGGAGGGCUAUUGUUGAAGGAAGAGACAUUUUAAAGCAGGGCCUGAUUAGGUGUGUUGGGAGUGGGAACACGACACACAUCUAG